rnacentral:tRNA from 1 species
GCAUCAGUAGUCUAACCUGGUAGGACUUGAGCUUCCCAAGCUUACGACCCGGGUUCAAAUCCCGGCUGAUGCA